rnacentral:rRNA from 2 species
UACGUAGGAUGCAAGCGUUGUCCGGAAUUAUUGGGCGUAAAGAGCGCGCAGGCGGUAACUCAAGUCAGAUGUGAAAUAUCCGGGCUUAACCCGGAGGGGUCAUUUGAAACUGAGUAACUAGAGUACAGCAGAGGAUAGCGGAAUUCCCGGUGUAGUGGUGAAAUGCGUAGAUAUCGGGAGGAACACCAGUGGCGAAGGCGGCUAUCUGGGCUGAAACUGACGCUGAGGCGCGAAGGCUAGGGGAGCAAACAGG